rnacentral:rRNA from 1 species
GACGGAGGAUGCAAGUGUUAUCCGGAAUCACUGGGCGUAAAGCGUCUGUAGGUGGUUUAGAAAGUCUGCUGUUAAAGCUUGAAGCUUAACUUCAAAAAUGCAGUGGAAACUUCUAGACUCGAGUGUGGUAGGGGUAGAGGGAAUUUCCAGUGGAGCGGUGAAAUGCGCAGAGUAUCAGGAGGAACACCGAUGGCGAAGGCAGGUCUCUGGGCCAUAACUGACGCUGAGAAGCGAAAGCGUGGGAGCGAACAGGA